rnacentral:rRNA from 1 species
CUAUCGCUUACAGAUGGGCCCGCGGUGCAUUAGCUAGUUGGUAGGGUAAUGGCCUACCAAGGCAACGAUGCAUAGCCGACCUGAGAGGGUGAUCGGCCACACUGGGACUGAGACACGGCCCAGACUCCUACGGGAGGCAGCAGUAGGGAAUCUUCCGCAAUGGACGAAAGUCUGACGGAGCAACGCCGCGUGUAUGAAGAAGGUUUUCGGAUCGUAAAGUACUGUUGUUAGAGAAGAACAAGGAUAAGAGUAACUGCUUGUCCCUUGACGGUAUCUAACCAGAAAGCCACGGCUAACUACGUGCCAGCAGCCGCGGUAAUACGUAGGUGGCAAGCGUUGUCCGGAUUUAUUGGGCGUAAAGCGCGCGCAGGCGGUCUUUUAAGUCUGAUGUGAAAGCCCCCGGCUUAACCGGGGAGGGUCAUUGGAAACUGGAAG